rnacentral:rRNA from 1 species
CAGUAGCCGCGGUAAUACGAAGGGUGCAAGCGUUAAUCGGAAUUACUGGGCGUAAAGCGUGCGCAGGCGGUUGUGUAAGACAGGUGUGAAAUCCCCGGGCUUAACCUGGGAACUGCGCUUGUGACUGCACAGCUAGAGUAUGGCAGAGGGGGGUGGAAUUCCACGUGUAGCAGUGAAAUGCGUAGAGAUGUGGAGGAACACCGAUGGCGAAGGCAGCCCCCUGGGCCAAUACUGACGCUCAUGCACGAAAGCGUGGGGAGCAAACAGGAUUAGAUACCCCCGUAGUCCCUGUCUCUUAUAC